ensembl:lncRNA
GGGAUCUGGAGGCAGGUCGGGGGGAGGAGAGGCCAAAGGUGGGCUACGGGGGUCCUGGGAUGGUGAUGGGGGUCCUGUCAGGGAACAUGGGGGUUAGUGAGUUCCCAGGGAGGAUCUUGGAGGUGUAAAGGAGGUCUGAGGGAGGAAAUAGGAGGAUUCCGGGGAAGCCCAGUGGGGCACAUGGGGUGCUGCUGGGGACUGUGGGGCUCCAUGUGGGUAUGGGCCAGCUACGGGAGAGGCGUACUGGGUCUGAGGGGGUCCUUGAGGGGCUCAAGGGCUCUGUGGGGGGCUACAGGGUGUCUCUAGGGGUCUUGCUGGGGAAACACUGGGGGGG